ACUCCUACGGGAGGCAGCAGUAGGGAAUAUUGGACAAUGGGCGAAAGCCUGAUCCAGCAACGCCGCGUGCGCGAUGACGGCCUUCGGGUUGUAAAGCGCUUUUAGGAGAGAUGAGAAAGGACAGUAUCUCCAGAAUAAGCCUCGGCGAACUACGUGCCAGCAGCCGCGGUAAU
rnacentral:rRNA from 1 species